CACCAGUGUGAGCCUAUCCAGCAUGGCUAAGCUUUCUCUGAAACUGCAGGAGGAGCUUGGGGCUUCAGGCAACCAGAGAGUGCAGUGCCUCAGGCAGGAGCAAGAAUUCACUGUACUAGGGCAGCCUGGGGCCACCCUGCCUCCAAGUCCCCACCAUCCAGGUGCCCAAGAAGUAUUCCUAGGGAUUUCUACUAAUACCUGCCAAUUACAGGGAAGCAGCCUGUCAACUUGAGCAGGCAGUUCAUGAUGAACACAGAAGCUUGCCCUGGCUUCCAGAACAUCCUGCUAGGUUGAAGAAGGCAGCUGCAAUUCAACAGACCUGGGAGCACUCCUGACUGGGAGGAGAGGUCCUGGGAUGUGAAUACUUGGUUUUAGAGCAAGUCUUCUGUAGGAGUGAUCCUGGGGUGUGAAUACUUUGUUUUUUAGAACAUAACAGACUUGCCCACAUGGCAGAAGGAGAGAACUGACUCAAACAAAUUGUCCUCUGACUUCACAGGAGUGAGCUACGGUGCUUGUUCCACUCCCAAAUAAAUAGACUGCAAACGAAGAAGAGACCCAGCAGAACACCAGCAUUCUUCACCUUCUGCUCUGGGACUGCAGAUGCUGUGUGACCAGCUGACUCCAGCUCCUGCACCAUGGCUUCCCGCAUCAGGAUGGACUGUAUCUCCUCGAACUAUAAGCCAAAUAAGCCUUUUCUCUCUUAAGUUGCUUCUUUUUUGGUAUUUGACCACAGAGAUGAGAAAAGUCAUUAAUUCAAAGGGCAAAGUGGUAAAAAGCCAGAGAGAGAGAGAGAGGAAGGAGGCUUGGAGCUGGAAAAGUGCCCUGGGUACAUCUGUGUUGGAGGGAUGUGGUGUGCAUGCCAUGGAAUACACUGUGUGUAUAGUUGUUCUAGUUACAUUACUGUUGCUGUGAUAAAACAAAAAACCAACUUGGUAUGGAAGGGGGGUUAUUUGACUUAUACUUCCUGGCUAAUAAUCCAUUAUUGAGGGGCGUUGAAGCAGGAACUCAAAGCAGGACCCAUGGAGAAAUGUUGCCUACGGGCUUGUUUCCUGGCUGUCAAUGACUCAUGCUCAGCUAGCUGUCUUAUGCUCAGUCCAGGAUCACCUGCCUAAGGAUGGUGUUGCUCAUCAUAAUGUGCUGUGCCUUCCCAUAUCAGUCAGCAAACGAGAAAAUGCCACAUAGAUAUAUGCCCACAGGUCAAUCUGAUUAAGGUCCAAUCAGUUGAGGUUCACACUUCCCAAAUAACUCUAUGUUGCAUCAAAAUGACUAAAAAUUAAAUCAUAGCUAGGUGUUGGUGGGGUAAACCUUUAAUCCCAGCACUUGGGGGGCAGGGGCAGGGCAGGAGGAUCUCAGUGAGUUUGAGGUCAGCCUGGUUUACACAGUGAGUUCCAGGCAGCCUAGCUACACAGAAAAACCCUAUAUCAAAAAUAAAUAAACAAACAAACAAACAAAUAAUAGAGUAGUAGUAAUCCUCACUUUUGUAAGGGAAAUGAAGGGCUGUGUCUAAUGCCCUCUGAUGUCUUUAGAGACCCGUCUUAAACUGAAGAAAGACCUUCAAAUAUCUGGUUUCUCUCAAUGUCUCAUUUGGGUCUAUUAACCUUGUAUGUAAUUACAUUGCAUCUCAAUCUGCACUCACUAAAUGUUCAUAAUUUUUACAUGAAA